rnacentral:rRNA from 1 species
UACUUUCUUUCGCAUGAAGGAAAGUUGANAGAUGGCUUCUCGCUAUCACUUACAGAUGGGCCCGCGGCGCAUUAGCUAGUUGGUGAGGUAACGGCUCACCAAGGCGACGAUGCGUAGCCGACCUGAGAGGGUGAUCGGCCACACUGGGACUGAGACACGGCCCAGACUCCUACGGGAGGCAGCAGUAGGGAAUCUUCCGCAAUGGACGAAAGUCUGACGGAGCAACGCCGCGUGAACGAUGAAGGUCUUCGGAUCGUAAAGUUCUGUUGUUAGGGAAGAACAAGUACCGUGCGAAUAGAGCGGUACCUUGACGGUACCUAACGAGGAAGCCCCGGCUAACUACGUGCCAGCAGCCGCGGUAAUACGUAGGGGGCAAGCGUUGUCCGGAAUUAUUGGGCGUAAAGCGCGCGCAGGCGGUUCCUUAAGUCUGAUGUGAAAGCCCACGGCUCAACCGUGGAGGGUCAUUGGAAACUGGGGAACUUGAGGACAGAAGAGGAGAGUGGAAUUCCACGUGUAGCGGUGAAAUGCGUAGAUAUGUGGAGGAACACCAGUGGCGAAGGCGACUCUCUGGUCUGUUUCUGACGCUGAGGUGCGAAAGCGUGGGUAGCAAACAG